rnacentral:tRNA from 1 species
CAGAGGGUAGUUUACCGUUAGAAUAUUAGUUUUGGGGGCUAGUAGUGAGAGUUAAAAUCUCUCCCCUCUGA